rnacentral:rRNA from 1 species
CCUACGGGAGGCAGCAGUGAGGAAUAUUGGUCAAUGGGCGCGAGCCUGAACCAGCCAAGUCGCGUGAGGGAAGACGGUCCUAUGGCUUGUAAACCUCUUUUGUCGGGGAGCAAAAGACGCCACGCGUGGCGUUCCGAGAGUACCCGAAGAUAAAGCAUCGGCUAACUCCGUGCCAGCAGCCGCGGUAUUCCGGAGGGUCCGGGCGUUAUCCGGAUUUAUUGGGUUUAACGGGAGCGUAGGUGGGUUGUUAAGUCAGUUGUGAAAGUUUGCGGCUCAAGCGGAAAAGUGCAGUUGAUACUGGCAGUCUGGAGUACAGAAGAGGUGGGAGGAAUUCGUGGUGUAGCGGUGAAAUGCUUAGAUAUCACGAAGAACACCGAUUGCGAAGGCAGUUCACUGGGCUGCAACUGACACUGAGGCUCGAAAGUGUGGGUAUCAAACAGGAUUAGAUACCCUAGUAGUC